AAUAUUUUAUUCUCAGCCCAUGUCAUCAAUUGCUCUUGAGCGAAAUCUCCUCCCAUCCGUUGUCUGAUUGGCAUUUCGCAAGGAUUCCUGGGUAAUUAAAGUGUGCGGAGCCUGCAUCUAUGUGGGCUUUGCGGAAGACCACUUCAAGGGUACAAAGGGGGCGCUGCUGAGCACACUUCAGAGCAUUAAAAUUCUGAAUGGGACGGCCUACGAACUCGUAGACUCGACGAGCACGCGCAAUUUAAGUCCACGAGACCGAAAGUCCACAUGAAGUGCGCCAUUUGGGACAGGGCCAUUGGCUGCAUCCGAAACUUAGGCAGCUGACUUGCUGCCUCGCUACUGUAUCAGGCAAUGACUUGCAGGCAGCGUUUUUGCACGAAGGUACCUCAUGAAACUGAUUUUGGACAGGCUUCUGAGGCAGAGGAAUGGAUCUACAGCAUGAUGUACAGCAAAAUAUAGAGUUAUGGUGAUAACUAGUGGAUAUUUAGUACAAACGUACAUUUUACACACAAACUGACACCGACCGCAACUUUCAGAUGCCAUUUUUAUUUUUGGCUUAACUGUCACAGAAUUUAAUGCGCAGAAUUGUGGGAUAUCAAAGGCAGCGAGGAUACAUCUAUGCUGCCUUCAAAAAAAAAAAAAAACACGGCCAGAUGAAGGCAACUCAGGAGACAGGAUCUGAAGCUAACAUGGAAUUCGGAUGUGUCUUGAUGCCCUCCAACCUUGGAAUGCAUCCUCUGAAGGCAGCAUUUUUCAGUUUUCAGAUGCAGCCAUCAUUUUCCCACACACUCUCUGCCUAAGAUGGCUUCAACUAGCUACAUGUGGUAUGGACCCCAUGCUUUAUACCAGCCAUUCAUUCUGCAUAUGCGCAGAAACCACCGCAGCUUCAACAGUCUCCAUACCCAUGCUCAAAGCAUGGGUCGAUGGUCAUCAUCAGCGUAUCAACAAUACAUUAGGCCUACAACUCAGGAUGUUAUAUUAGCGCAAAAGCUUGAGCAGCUCUUUACGUGGUUCUCCCGCUGGAGAGAACACCACUGCUGCACACUGCCAGCCGUCAGUCCCUCGAGAGGAGGAGAAGAAGGAUAUGAAGAAGGAAAAUGAGGAGUAGAAGGAGAACAAGGGGAAAAAAAAAAAUUUUCUCCCAGCGGAGAGAACACUCUUAAGCACCCCUGCUGCUUAAAUUAAAGAGGGGCCUGCUAUUCUCUCCCUCCUUCUAGAUGGGAGAAUACCCCUCUGCUAGCCAGUAGGCUGCAUUAAGGAUAUCUCUAACUUGUCUUUCUCUUUUGCAGGAAUGGAACAAGGACAGUUUUGGGAUGGUUCUUCACGCUGCUCUCCUACCUCUCAUGCCAAGCUCCGGGAUAUGCUGCUUUGUUCUUGCGGUUCUCCCGCUGGAGAGAACACCUUUUGCUGCUAUAACUGCAGGGGCCUGCUGUUCAUCCCUCAGCAGGGGAUGAACGCCCCUUGCUACUUUAAUUAAAGAGGGGCCUGUUAUUCUCUCCCUCCUUUUAGAGGGGUGGAACCAGGAUGGUUUUGGGGGGUUCUUCUUCAGGCAGUAAUACCUCUUAUGUUUGGGGAGUUAAUGUUUAAGCUCUUGUAUGUUCAGUUAAUUUGGGAACAAGAACCCCCAUAAGGAACCAUACCGCCAAAGAUAAAAUGUGUUCAAUAAACUCAAACUACUGCUCGAUCACUAAGGCUUUCAAGUCCCGGUUGGCAUGGACCUUACUGCUGAGAGACAUUCAUCCUGAUAACCAAGCUACAGGAUAGACGUCCCACUGCCACAUCUACACGAUUACCACUGUUUGCUUUCAAAGACAUUAUUAAGUGUCUUAAUUGUCAUGUAUUUCCAAGCUGAUGGUUCUGGGGGGUUAAUGUUUAAGCUCUUGUAUGUUCAAUUAAUUUGGGAGCAAGAGCCCCCAUAAGGAACCAUACUGCCAAAGAUAAAUUGUGUUCAAUAAACUCAAGUAACUUGCCAAAGUGAUCCUGUCUGAACUUGCUUUGUAACCCAAAUAAAUAAGUUUUUCCUUCAUUAAAAUGAAUGCUUAGUUUGUGGUUCAUCCUUGUGCUUUUGGGUCCGCCACCAGUCAUUUCACUUCACUCUCGUCACGUGACUCCUGCUCCCCCUGAGCUGCUUGGAACAGACUGAUUCUGUACAGACUGUAAUAUGCUCUGGCC